GCCAGGUGUGGUGGCACAUGCCUGUAAUCCCAGCGGCCCAGGAGGCUGAGGCAGGAGGAUUGCAAGUUCAAAGCCAGCCUUAGCAAUUUAGUGAGGCAUGAAGUAACUCAGCAAGACCGUGUCUCUC
rnacentral:sRNA from 1 species